AUGUAGAAUGCAGUGUCAGAUUAAAUGGUAACAUGACUGAAUGGUUCAAUGUAAAUACUGGUUUAAAACAAGGCUGUGUAUUGUCAACAGUAAUGUUUAAUAUAUUUAUUAAUGAUUUAAUUGAUGAUAUAAAGUUGUUAGACAUUGGUAUUAAUAUUGAUGGUGAAAAAUUAUCUAUCUUGCUGUAUGCCGAUGACAUAGUUUUAUUAGCAGAAAAUGCUGAGGAUUUACAAAAAUUAUUAGAUGUUUUAAAUGUAUGGUGUAAUCAUAAUAGUUUAAAAGUAAAUUUGAGAAAAUCAAAUAUUAUACAUUUUAGAAAUCCUUCUAUAGCCAGAUCAGAUUUUCAUUUUAGUUUAAAUGAUGAAAAUAUUGAGUAUGCUUCAAAUUACCAAUACUUAGGUUUAUUGUUAACAGAGUUUUUAGACUACCAAUUAAUGGCAAAAGCUGUAGCCAGGUCAGCAAGUAGGGCAUUAGGUUUACUUAUUGUUAAAUGUAAAGCACAUGGUGGUUUUCAGCACAAUAUCUACACAAAGCUAUUUGAUACGAUGGUUUGGUCAGUCAUAAAUUAUGGCUCGUCUAUUUGGGGCACGAGAGAUUUCUCGUGCAUCACUGCAGUACAGAAUCGCGCCAUGCGUUUCUACAUGGGUGUGGGUAAAUAUACCCCAAACGAUGCUGUGUCAGGUGACAUGGGCUGGAAACCACCAUGUGUUAAACAGUGGAUAAAUAUUUUUAGACACUGGUCCAAAUGUACAAAAAUGGACAAUAAUAGAAUUAAUUAUAAAGUUUUUAAAUGGUCAGUGAUGAAAGGUAGUUGUAAAUUAAAAAAUUGGUGCUACAAAGUUAUGGAGAUGUUGAAAUCAUUUGAUUUUGAAAGAUAUUGUAAAAUAAAUGAAAAUUUUCUUGAUAGUUAUAGUAUAUCUCAGUUAGAAGAGAAAAUGUUUGAUAAAUAUAAAAAAGACUGGUGUACCAGAAUUUUUUCAUAUAGUACCGGUUGUAAAUUGAGAACAUAUAAACUUUUUAAACAUACUUAUAACACUGAGCAAUAUUUGCUACAAAAAAUGCCACAGCGCCAUCGUAGUGCUUUUUCAAAGUUUAGAUGUGGUGUAGCACCAUUAAAAAUUGAAACUGGUCGAUAUGAAAGAAAAAAUCUAGACGAAAGAGUCUGUUUUAACUGCAAUAUUUUAGAGGAUGAAAAACAUGUACUUUUAAAUUGUCCCUUGUAUGAAGAUCUAAGACAUGCUCUUUUUAUUGAUAUAUUGUGUCAUAAUGAUAUGUUUUUAAACUUGUCUGAUGAAGAAAAAUUUAUAUAUAUGUUUAAAAAUACCAAUAUUUGUAAUAUUGUUGCCAAAACCUGCAAUAACAUUUUAACAAGGAGAAACAGUAUUUUAUAUCAUUAACUACUGUAUUUGUAGUUUUUUAUAAAAUGAAUAAGUAUUAUUUGUAUUUUAAUAGUCUCUCAUAAUUCUUUUAAGAAUGGCACAUACAUGUAUUUAAUUGUUUUAACUAUGUUUACUGUAUAAUUAAUUUUAUAAUUGUAUCUUGUUUUAAUCAUGUUGUAUGUGGUGAG
rnacentral:lncRNA from 1 species